AACUCAAAGGAAUUGACGGGGGCCCGCACAAGCGGCGGAGCAUGCGGAUUAAUUCGAUGCAACGCGAAGAACCUUACCAAGACUUGACAUAUUCAGGAAAACUGCAGAAAUGUAGUCCCCCGCAAGGGUCUGUUUACAGGUGGUGCAUGGUUGUCGUCAGCUCGUGUCGUGAGAUGUUGGGUUAAGUCCCGCAACGAGCGCAACCCUCGUCCUAUGUUGCCAGCACGUAAUGGUGGGAACUCAUGGGAGACUGCCGGGGUCAACUCGGAGGAAGGUGGGGAUGACGUCAAAUCAUCAUGCCCCUUAUGUCUUGGGCUUCACGCAUGCUACAAUGGCCGGUACAAAGGGCUGCAAUACCGCAAGGUGGAGCGAAUCCCAAAAAGCCGGUCUCAGUUCGGAUUGAGGUCUGCAACUCGACCUCAUGAAGUCGGAGUCGCUAGUAAUCGCAGAUCAGCAACGCUGCGGUGAAUACGUUCCCGGGCCUUGUACACACCGCCCGUCAAGUCACGAAAGUCGGUAACACCCGAAGCCGGUGGCCUAACCGUAAGGAAGGA
rnacentral:rRNA from 1 species